rnacentral:lncRNA from 1 species
CAAGCACGUGCUUAGGAACUUUAACUAACUAGCCAUGAUAGCCCUGGGAACUCAAAUUGCAGUUUUGUUUCUCCACAAGCCAGAAGCAUGCUUGUUGCUUAAACUCUUUGCCAGCUCAGACAGACACCAGAGAAAUAUUCCCUCCUACUCUGUUUGCCUGAGGAUGAAAGAAGAGACGUAGCUGAAAGCUAUCUAAUUACUGUCCCAGCUCAAAGUAAUACCUCCACAAGGUCUUUCUGUUGUGUGUUACUUCGAAAGGUCGUGUACAGCACCAGUCCUACCAUCACUGAAACCAGGACGAUGCACAGCAGGACAAAGAAGGCUGGCUGGAUCCCUGGGAAAGAGCACAAGGGGACAUUCCUGGAGUGAUACAAUACGCUGACAAGAGAAACCUCAUCAGCUGCGAAUUAAUGCAUAACGCCCCCGACGUGCUUGAGGCUGUCAGAUGCUCGGACAAUCGGGAAGCUCUGCGCUGCAGCUCACCUGUUGGCCACACUUUUAUUUCGUGAUGAGCAGCUGAAUGAGAGGCUCCUCGAAUAUUCAUUGAAGAGAAUAAAGUAACCACACCUACCCAUCUCCAAAAUCCCAGUUGUAGACAAACGAAGCUGCC